rnacentral:rRNA from 1 species
CCUACGGGAGGCAGCAGUGGGGAAUUUUGCGCAAUGCUCGUAAGAGUGACGCAGCGACGCCGCGUGAAUGACGAAGGCCUUCGGGUCGUAAAGUUCUUUCGACAGGGAAGAAAAUGCCUAUAAGUAACUGUGUAUGUAUUGACGGUACCUGUAUACGCAGCCCCGGCUAAAUCCGUGCCAGCAGCCGCGGUAAUACGGAGGGGGCGAGCGUUGUUCGGAGUGACUGGGCGUAAAGAGCACGUAGGCGGUGUUGUAAGUCAUUAGUCAAAGACUAGAGCUCAACUUUAGUAAGGCUAGUGAUACUAUCAUACUUGAGUAUCAGAGAGGAGUGCAGAAUUCCUGGUGUAGCGGUGAAAUGCGUAGAUAUCAGGAGGAAUACCGGUAGCGAAGGCGGAAAACUGGCUGGAAACUGACGCUGAGGUGCGAAAGCGUGGGUAGCAAACAGGAUUAGAUACCCUUGUAGUC